AGGUUAAUGAAUAACCUCUAAAGGAAGUUACUUCACAUAAUGACAGCAAUUUCUCUGAACUAAAUGUUAAUUAAUAAGGCCUGUAAUACUAUGAGAAGGAAAUGGUGGCAAUUGGCAAAUGGAACUCUGUUGCUUGGUAACAAAACCUGAGAAAUAAUCAAAACCCUCUGCACUCACUCAGAAGUGUCCAUAAGUCCUGUUCAAGUAAUCUUAAAAGAGACUGUUCCAAUAUUCGAUCUGCCUCGUUCAACAAGGCAAAAAGGUGAGGAAGCAGAGAAUUAUUUUUGAAUGGCUACUGCUUAAAGAGUUGCCUGCGUGAGGUUUGGUGGCAAGAAGCAGAAGUCAGAGCCUGUGGUUCCUGUUGCUCUUCGGCGGUAUGAAAGAGAGAAGAAGGCGUGCUUCAUUAUAUGAAGCUUUGCUCCUAAGGUACAACUCUUGUAGACCUCCCGGACUCACCCAAUUUCCUCAUAGGCUUUUGCAUUAUCUUAAAAGAUGUUUCCCUUAGUAAUAUGGAGGAGACAAAAUCAAUAAUGUGCAAUACAUUUAAUCAACACGAAAACCUGAUUCUAUCAGGAGAACAGAUUAAAGGAGUCUUGCUUAGACUCCAGGGUAAUUGACAGUUUUUCUGCCUUAUAUGUGGAAUGAUUAUAACAAGUUGUAAUUCAGAUAAUGAACUUCUUAAUGCAGGAAGUUCUUCAUUCAGGAAAUAGAAGUUGGUGAAAUUGAAACAAAUUUAUUAAGUAAAUAAAGGGAAAAGCACAAAAUACUUAGUGGCUAGAGUAUUAUCAAUUGUAAAGAAGAUUUGGAAUAGAACAGUUAGGGAGCUAUAAUUCUUCAGUUUUUAUACUGUUCUACCACUCUAGUAUGUUGCUAUAAUUCUCUGAAUUAAUUUUUUUAAAAAUACAACAGCUGUCUGGAGAAACCAAUUUGAUCUCACUUUUAUUUUAUUUUUUAAAUGCAUUUGAUUAUGUAUAUUUGAGGUUUACAACAUAGUGUUAUGGGAUACAUAUAGUAGUAAAAUGGUUACUAUAGUGAAGCAGACUAACAUAUCUAUCAUCUCACAUAGUUACUUUUUUGUGACAAGAACAGCUAAAAUCUACUUAUUUAAUAAAAAUCUCCAAUACAGUAUAAUUUUACUAACUUUAUUACUCAUGUUGUACAUUGGCUCUCUAAACUGCUUUGUGCUGCUAUUUUGAUCGCUUGACCUACAUUGCCCCCAUUUCCUUUCCCUCCCACCCUGCUCCACAUCCCCACCCCCAUCCCACCCAUGGUAACCACUGUUUUGUUCUCUGUAUCUGUGUAUUUGAGCUCUUUUUAAAUAUGUAUAUAUUCUACAUAAAGGUGAGAUUAUAUAAUAUUUUUCUUUCUGUGUCUGGUUUCUUUCACUUAGCAUAAUGUCCUCCAGGUCAUAUUGUGGUAAAUGGCAGAAUCUCCUUUUUAAGGUUGAAU
rnacentral:lncRNA from 1 species